rnacentral:rRNA from 1 species
GACGAACGCUGGCGGCGUGCUUAACACAUGCAAGUCGAACGAGUGGCGAACGGGUGAGUAAUACGUGGGAACCUGCCUGAUGGAGGGGGAUAACUACUGGAAACGGUAGCUAAUACCGCAUACCAUCAGAUGUGCCCAGAUGGGAUUAGCUUGUUGGUGGGGUAACGGCUCACCAAGGCGACGAUCCCUAGCUGGUCUGAGAGGAUGACCAGCCACACUGGAACUGAGACACGGUCCAGACUCCUACGGGAGGCAGCAGUGGGGAAUAUUGCACAAUGGGCGCAAGCCUGAUGCAGCCAUGCCGCGUGUAUGAAGAAGGCCUUCGGGUUGUAAAGUACUUUCAGCGGGGAGGCGUUACCCGCAGAAGAAGCACCGGCUAACUCCGUGCCAGCAGCCGCGGUAAUUC